AUUGAACGCUGGCGGCAUGCCUUACACAUGCAAGUCGAACGGCAGCGGGGACUUCGGUCCGCCGGCGAGUGGCGAACGGGUGAGUAAUGUAUCGGAACGUACCUUUCAGUGGGGGAUAACGUAGCGAAAGUUACGCUAAUACCGCAUAUUCUGUGAGCAGGAAAGCAGGGGAUCGCAAGACCUUGCGCUGAUUGAGCGGCCGAUAUCAGAUUAGCUAGUUGGUGAGGUAAAGGCUCACCAAGGCGACGAUCUGUAGCGGGUCUGAGAGGAUGAUCCGCCACACUGGGACUGAGACACGGCCCAGACUCCUACGGGAGGCAGCAGUGGGGAAUUUUGGACAAUGGGCGAAAGCCUGAUCCAGCCAUGCCGCGUGAGUGAAGAAGGCCUCGGUGU
rnacentral:rRNA from 1 species